rnacentral:misc_RNA from 1 species
AUAAAUUACUGAGAAGUAAGGCUAAUUCUCGAUCCAUGGAUUUAGCGGAGUAAGAGAAGAAGAUCUUUAUGGAAGGGUUGCUGGACACGAACCGCAGCCGUGCUCCAUAGCCCUUGUGAGUUGAGACAAGCUAAUACUAUAGGAUUUUGCUCUGCCAAAAGACGUAGGAGGUUUAAAUAAUUUUGUAGUUUUUCUGCUGUCUUCAAGUGUAUAUAGGUAAAAAU